GCCCCCUUAGCUCAGUGGUAGAGCACUUCCAUGGUAAGGAAGGGGUCCGGGGUUCAAGUCCCCGAGGGGGCU
rnacentral:tRNA from 1 species